CUAAAAGUUUUGAUUUUGCGCAUUAUCUCCUGUUCAGCCGUUCGGCCCCGUCUUCUUCCUCUGUCCCUUUUUUUUUUUUUUUUUAAACGACAACCGAAAUUUCUUUCAAAAAUACCGUCGCUUACACCAAACUGGGAACAGAGGAAUUAUGACAGUUUCGUAAUCACCACAUCCACCAAGUCGACGGUGCUCUCCAAAACCCUAAUCCGAGAGGGUAUGGAUCAACAAGCUCCGUCGGUUGGCUUCAUCAUGGACACGAUCAUUGCCGACAAUGGUCUCCGUGACUUUAUUCUGAAGAUCCAGUCACCAAUGUGAACCAGAAUCCCUUUGGAGACAGUUACAACAAAGGCAGAUACCAAAAUCACAAAAACAAAACAUGGAGAUUUCAUAACCAAAAUUAUAUUCAAAGCAGAGGAUAAACCAGGCUCUGAUACCAAAUGGACCAAAUACGUUACCCCUAUUUAUUGUUUUUUCUCCAUCAGAAAAAACUGCUAUUGGGGUGGUUAUCAUGCAGUUAACACAAC